rnacentral:rRNA from 1 species
UACGUAGGGGGCGAGCGUUGUCCGGAUUUACUGGGCGUAAAGAGCGCGCAGGCGGUCGGAUAAGUCGAAUGUGAAAGCCCCCGGCUCAACUGGGGAGGGUCAUUCGAUACUGUUCGACUCGAAGGCAGGAGAGGGAAGUGGAAUUCCCGGUGUAGUGGUGAAAUGCGUAGAUAUCGGGAGGAACACCAGUGGCGAAGGCGACUUCCUGGCCUGUUCUUGACGCUGAGGCGCGAAAGCUAGGGGAGCAAACGGG